UACGUAGGUGGCAAGCGUUGUCCGGAUUUACUGGGCGUAAAGGGCGUGCAGGCGGUUUGUUAAGUCUAGGGUGAAAGCUCCCGGCUCAACCGGGAGAGGUCCUUGGAUACUGGCGAACUUGAGGGAUGCAGAGGAAAGUGGAAUUCCCGGUGUAGUGGUGAUAUGCGUAGAUAUCGGGAGGAACACCAGUGGCGAAGGCGGCUUUCUGGGCAUUUCCUGACGCUGAGACGCGAAAGCGUGGGGAGCGAACCGG
rnacentral:rRNA from 1 species